UUGACCAACCUGGAGACGUAAAUUUACUCUCCACAGAACAAGUACAACAUGAGUAGUAACGGUGCAAGCUUCCUCACACUGCUCUGCCAACGUGUCUGAAAUCUGACCUGGCAGGAUCGUCUUGCAGGGUUGGAGUGCAUUUCCAUGCCAGUGCCCAUUCUCACUGUCUGGCAAUU
rnacentral:sRNA from 1 species